rnacentral:rRNA from 1 species
ACCCCGGCGAGGGGAGUGAAACAGAACCUGAAACCGUGUACGUACAAGCAGUGGGAGCAUGAGUUUACUCAUGUGACUGCGUACCUUUUGUAUAAUGGGUCAGCGACUUAUAUUCUGUAGCAAGGUUAACCGUAUAGGGGAGCCGGAGGGAAACCGAGUCUUAAUUGGGCGUUAAGUUGCAGGGUAUAGACCCGAAACCCGGUGAUCUAGCCAUGGGCAGGUUGAAGGUUGGGUAACACUAACUGGAGGACCGAACCGACUAAUGUUGAAAAAUUAGCGGAUGACCUGUGGCUGGGGGUGAAAGGCCAAUCAAACCGGGAGAUAGCUGGUUCUCCCCGAAAGCUAUUUAGGUAGCGCCUCGUGAAUUCAUCUCCGGGGGUAGAGCAC